CACUGCAGCAGACGCAGAGACAGUUCUGAGGCAAACGGCCCUGACAAAACCUCACACAUCCUGAAAAACAAAAAGGCAAAUGCAAAAGAAAGUGUGUGUCAUCAGAAGCAGCAGUGUGUUGAAGAGGCCUGUCAGUUCUCUCUGUAGCCGGUGACUGAGGUGGGCCUGGAGUUUGUCCACUUCCCCCUGUGAUUGGAUGUGUGUGUGGUUCUGCGGAUCAGCGCUCAGCAACAAGUUCAGCAGUGUGUGCGACUCCUGCACACACCAAUACAGAUAUUUAACAACGCGAUCUGUCAGUUACAGCUGCUGGAUGCCUCCAGAUUUAGCUGAACACAAUCUGAUGAUAGCAUUCUCAUCCUCCUGCAGGAAUAUUUCAGCUGGGAAGUCUUGCAUGAUGACAUCACGAAGCAGCUCACAGGUGGUCCGUACUAAGUUGUGGUUGUCGCUUCUAAGGGAACU